rnacentral:rRNA from 1 species
CUUGCUCCACCGGAAAAAGAGGAGUGGCGAACGGGUGAGUAACACGUGGGUAACCUGCCCAUCAGAAGGGGAUAACACUUGGAAACAGGUGCUAAUACCGUAUAACAAUCGAAACCGCAUGGUUUUGAUUUGAAAGGCGCUUUCGGGUGUCGCUGAUGGAUGGACCCGCGGUGCAUUANCUAGUUGGUGAGGUAACGGCUCACCAAGGCCACGAUGCAUAGCCGACCUGAGAGGGUGAUCGGCCACAUUGGGACUGAGACACGGCCCAAACUCCUACGGGAGGCAGCAGUAGGGAAUCUUCGGCAAUGGACGAAAGUCUGACCGAGCAACGCCGCGUGAGUGAAGAAGGUUUUCGGAUCGUAAAACUCUGUUGUUAGAGAAGAACAAGGAUGAGAGUAACUGUUCAUCCCUUGACGGUAUCUAACCAGAAAGCCACGGCUAACUACGUGCCAGCAGCCGCGGUAAUACGUAGGUGGCAAGCGUUGUCCGGAUUUAUUGGGCGUAAAGCGAGCGCAGGCGGUUUCUUAAGUCUGAUGUGAAAGCCCCCGGCUCAACCGGGGAGGGUCAUUGGAAACUGGGAGACUUGAGUGCANAAGAGGAGAGUGGAAUUCCAUGUGUAGCGGUGAAAUGCGUAGAUAUAUGGAGGAACACCAGUGGCGAAGGCGGCUCUCUGGUCUGUAACUGACGCUGAGCUCNAAGCGUGGGGAGCAAA